CCAGCAGCCGCGGUAAUUCCAGCUCCAAUAGCGUAUAUUAGAGUUGUUGUGGUUAAAAAGCUCGUAGUUGGAUCUCGGCGGGCAGCAGUCGGUGAGGACGAUUCCUAUACUGGCUUGUUUGCUCGUGUGUUGUGUCGGAGGCGGGCAAGUGCUCUUAAUCGAGUGUUUGUCCGAGCCGGCAGGUUUACUUUGAAAAAAUUAGAGUGCUCAAAGCAAGCUCCACCGCUUGAAUAUUCGUGCAUGGAAUAAUAGAAUAGGAAGUCGUUUCUAUUUUGUUGGUUUUUCGGAAAUCGACUUAAUGAUUAAUAGGGACAGUCGGGGGCAUUUGUAUUCAAACGACAGAGGUGAAAUUCUUGGACCGUUUGAAGACA
rnacentral:rRNA from 1 species